GAGGAGGGCGUGGUCAUCUGGGCUUCACAGUGAUGAGUAUCUGGCUUGUUCUCUUUCUGUGUUUAAGAGGCCUAAGCCGCUUAUCAUUGAAUGCUAUAUUCUUGUGAUCAUCGAUAAGCGAUUUAGAAUCCAGUUAUGUGGAGAGAUGCCAAAGUUUUGAUGUUGUAACCAUUAACAUGUGAUGGAGCCCUGCUUUCCUGGAGAUGGAUGAACCUGCAGAUGGGAAAUGCUGAAUGAAUUCCUUGCUUCACUUUGCUUACAUGUUCAACUUUUGCUUUAACUAUUAAACUGUCUUUAUCUCAACCCA